rnacentral:lncRNA from 1 species
CUGCUCUUUGGUUAGGUUGUCUCUUUGACAUAUUCCCCCAUUUCCAUUCUCAAUUUUAUUCUACAAAUAAUUCACAAAACUGCUGCCAGAUUAACAUCACAAUAUGUAUGUGUAUGUCUCACAUCUCACAAUCAGUGCACAUGUCACUGGCAAGACAAAUAAAACAUAACCUCAGAUUAAAAUACAAAUAUUUUUCUAUGUUUAAUUUGUAUAACAGAUAUAAUAGAUACAUGAUCACUUUAAUGCUUGAAUUACAAAUGUAUAUUUAAAAACCUGAAAGACUAAAACGGCAAGUCAGUGCACAAACACAUUAUAAUAUAUACAAUUCAUUGUAAAAGAUCAUGUAUAUCUAUACUAUUAAUAAAUCCUCUUCCGAUUCUGUUGUCAAAUCCACAUGACCUUUGGCCCCUGACAACUGAGGUGGCAUCAGUGCACAGUUACACUUGCCCACUAGGGGAGCUAUUCUAUCAUAAUGAUUCCCGUUAGUGUGACAUAAAGUUAUGUAACAUUGGUCAAAACAAUCAACAUCACUUUGUUUAAAUCUGGGUGAAAAAAGCAACCAGCGAUAAAAUUUUCCUGAAUGAUCUGGUGAUAACAUAUAUAUGUCACGUUGCAGUAAUGUUGCAGCACCAUAUAUUUCUGCUUGUGUUGCCCAUGUCCCAUCUCUCCUCAUUGAAAUUAUAUGUGAAUGUAUAGACUUCCCAUCAAUGAAUUGUUCAAAAUCUUUUGGAUACUUUUCCAUUAAGUCUACAACUGUUUGGCGAAGUUCUUCAUGACAAGUUUCUGUGUUGUAUAUCACUUUACUUAAAGCUCGGAAGAAACAGUUGCCAUCACCACGAAUAUAAUCAACUUGUCUCUGUUCAGGUUCGAUUACGUCUCGGAUCAUAUUGUAGGCUGGAUAACUUGGUGUAGCCAUAAUUUUUCCAUCAGAAUCAGUAUUUGACCUUAAUGAACUUUGUUUUUUGUCAUCAAUAUAGAUGGCUCUUUCACUUAAGCCUGCAUUUUUUUCACCUGAAAUUUUGCCACUGUGGAAAUCUUCAUCUCCAAUGAUAUAAGAUUUCUCAGUAGAUCUAUGCUUUGAUGAUGAAGGCAAGUUUCUAUUCUGGUUUGUGAUAUCAACAUCAUAAAUUUCAGAAAGAUCAUUUUCGUACUGACUUGAAGAGGGUAAAGCUGACAUUAUUCUAUCUUUUCGUUUACUGCUUCUGUUAUUUUCAUCAUCAGAUAAACAAAUUAUACCUGGAUGUGACGACCUUGGCUGUCCUGGUCUUGAUGAAUACCUUCGAAUAUCAUCUGAAGCAGGUAUAAUACGAGAAGGGUGAGUAUUUGGUGGUGAAUCUAACCUGCAGUCUGUCUCCACAUUUGGAGAUUUGUUUCUAGUAUUGAUGGAAUAUGGUUGGGUACGAGGGUUAGAAGUUGAUCGACCUCGUCUAGUCUUUACAUCUGUUCCACUAUUGUUUAUAUUUCUGUUUACAAAAGGAGCUAUAUCACAGUCUGAAUCAUCAGAAAGACUUUCACUGUAAAUGUCAUCACUUUCAUCGGAUAAAUCAACAUAAUUAUCGCAAUAUUUCACAUAUCUUCC